rnacentral:rRNA from 1 species
AGCGAACGCUGGCGGCAGGCCUAACACAUGCAAGUCGAACGGACCCUUCGGGGUUAGUGGCGGACGGGUGAGUAACACGUGGGAACGUGCCUUUAGGUUCGGAAUAGCUCCUGGAAACGGGUGGUAAUGCCGAAUGUGCCCUUCGGGGGAAAGAUUUAUCGCCUUUAGAGCGGCCCGCGUCUGAUUAGCUGGUUGGUGAGGUAAAGGCUCACCAAGGCGACGAUCAGUAGCUGGUCUGAGAGGAUGACCAGCCACAUUGGGACUGAGACACGGCCCAAACUCCUACGGGAGGCAGCAGUGGGGAAUCUUGAGCAAUGGGCGAAAGCCUGACGCAGCCAUGCCGCGUGAAUGAUGAAGGUCUUAGGAUUGUAAAAUUCUUUCACCGGGGACGAUAAUGACGGUACCCGGAGAAGAAGCCCCGGCUAACUUCGUGCCAGCCGCCGCGGUAAUAC